rnacentral:lncRNA from 1 species
UUUUUUUUUUUUUUUUUUUUUUAGUUAAGACAGGGUUUCACCAUGUUGGCCAAGUUGGUUUCAAACUCCUGAUCUCAGGUGAUCCGCCCGCCUUGGCCUCCUAAAGUGCUAGGAUUACAGGCGUGAGCCAAUGCACCUGUCCUCAAGUCCUCACUUUCAAUGUGCUUUCUCACCCAACAUCCAGCACCUAUGGCUCUUUUUGGGAGGGCUGCACUUGCUUCACCCUUUCAUGUCAAGAGCCAGAAAUACCUGAGAAUUUAUGUGCCCCCACCACAGACCCCUCUCUUAACUGAAGACUGACAGGUAUGGAGUACGAAACACCAAUCCCAUAGAUUCAGGCGGGGACAACCCUGAGGCUGACUUACACUCCAGAGCUCCCCCGCCCCACACAGGAUCAGGCUGAAGCCACUCUCUGCAGUACUUUGUUUGAAUGAGAGCAUACCUUUACUUGACUUCUUCCCCUUCCCUUCCCAGUUUUUCCUGAGAGCAUCUCCUUAACAGAGUAGCACACAUACACACAAACCCUCUUCUUGGUGUCUGCAUCUGAGGAUUCUGACCUAAGACAUCUGCAAACCACACCAACUUAUACAGACCUUCUGGCCAGCUUCAGUGUCACAGUCCUACAUAUGAAAAGACAAUCAAGAAUAAGCAGACUGUGCUGAAAAACUCCAGCAGGGAAGGGAGUGAUCAACAUAAACAACAAGAUGUAAACACUGUAAUUUCCCAAGUGGGAGAAGCAGGAGAUGUGAUAGGAGAGGGAAAAAUUAAACUCAGAAAGAUUAAAAGAUUCACUGUGCAGAUAUCAUAAUAAAUGACACCUGAAUCAUCCACCUUCGUAUGCACAUUCUCUUUACUUCAUCAAGGGGAGCCUCAUUCCACAUAAGAAGCUGCAGACAGGUGGAUAAUUGCCUACCCAUCACCAUGCAGUCCUCUCUAAGCCUGCCCUCCCUGCAUCACCCCAUCCCCUCUGCAUCCAUCCACUAAAUGUAAUUUUGAAAGCAGUCUUUGCACUGCCAGUAAGUACCAUGUUGUGUUUCACAGGGAGCAGCUUAGACACAAUAGCAAACAAAAUCCUGAGUCUCUCAUCCUCCACUCUUCCCCAAGCAGGUUUCAAAUACCUCACAUGACUUAAAUGUAUAACAAUAUGCACUUUUAACACUGGCUUAACAUUCUAUCUUCAGGACUAGACAUCAUCUACCAUAGCAGUAACAAUUUAUGCCAAGUCAAAGGACACCUUAUCAUUUAUUUUACAUGUGUCAUGAAUCUCUCUUCAGAUUAUGGAAAAUUUAUAUAUUUUGGCAGGCUAAAAUACUUAAGCACUUAACUGAAAGCUGACUUAAUUGUUCCUUUCCUUAACACAUUUUAAUAAGGAGUAGAUACCAUUAGUGAUUUUGGUCCCAAGCUUCUAAUAUAUUUAUUUCUUC